rnacentral:rRNA from 1 species
AUUGAACGCUGGCGGCAUGCUUUACACAUGCAAGUGGAGCGACGAACCAGGGCUUGCCCUGGGGCAAAGCCGCGAACGGGUGAGUAACACGUGGGUAACCUACCCCAAUGAUCGGGACAACCCGGGGAAACUCGGGCUAAUACCGAAUGUGCUUGGAGUUCAUGAGGACUCCAAGUAAAGAUAGCUUCGGCCUUCGCAUUGGGAUGGGCCCGCGGCCCAUUAGCUUGUUGGUGAGGUAACGGCUCACCAAGGCGACGAUGGGUAGCUGGGCUGAGAGGACGAUCGGCCACACUGGGACUGAGACACGGCCCAGACUCCUACGGGAGGCAGCAGUGGGGAAUCUUGCACAAUGCGCGAAAGCGUGAUGCAGCAACGCCGCGUGGGGGAAGACGGCCUUCGGGUUGUAAACCUCUUUCAGUUGGGACGAAGGUUCAACGGUGAAUAGCCGGCUGAACUGACGGUACCUUCAGAAGAAGCCCCGGCUAACUACGUGCCAGCCGCCGCAGUAAUAC